GAGCCGGUAGCCUAGUUUGGAUAGGGCAACUGCCUCCUAAGCAGUAGGUCGGGAGUUCGAAUCUCCCCCGGCUCG
rnacentral:tRNA from 1 species